CUGUUGUGUUGUGGCUCUCAGAACCAUCAUAAAAACAGAAGAAAGCAGACAAAAUGUGGAGCUAUACCAAAGUCAAAUUUAGGCAAAAUGAUAUCUUGUAGAGUUAAACUUUCUCAGAAGCAGUGAAAAAUGAUUGUAUCAACUACCAAAGAAAACAAUUCAGAAAUUAAUUGCAUGGAAACCGUUUUAACCACCCCUUCAAAAGCCCCCAAACCAGUAUAUGUAUGGAAAUUCACAUAAAUAUAUGGGCAAAAAAGCCUGUUACUGGCCAUAGUUCAGGAAAUCAUGUCAAAAAAGUUUGUUUUAAAGAAAUUAAAAAUUCUUAGGCUCCAAAAGUUGUGAGAUGCUCUACCCACAGUACCCCAGGAGCAGAAAGUAGCCACAUUUCAGAUUUACCAUCUCUGGACAGUCCCAAUCCCUCGCUAUCUUCUUAAAUGACUGCUCUUUCCAUGGUAGCCCCAGUCACUUUCACAUAUAUUGUAGAAGAACUACAAAAGGAAGCAGCUUUAUUUGAAGUUGAGAAAAAACCCUGGCUCUGAUUCAAACUGAGGAGGAUGCAGUACAUGAUUUACUGGUUUUCUAUCAGGCAUUUGGCAACCCUGAGGAGUUUGUCAUUGUUGAAAGGAUACCACAGGGACCACUGGCAGUACCUAUGUGGAAUAAGCAUGGA
rnacentral:lncRNA from 1 species